GGGGAUAACUACUGGAAACGGUAGCUAAUACCGCAUAACGUCUACGGACCAAAGUGGGGGACCUUCGGGCCUCAUGCCAUCAGAUGUGCCCAGAUGGGAUUAGCUAGUAGGUGGGGUAACGGCUCACCUAGGCGACGAUCCCUAGCUGGUCUGAGAGGAUGACCAGCCACACUGGAACUGAGACACGGUCCAGACUCCUACGGGAGGCAGCAGUGGGGAAUAUUGCACAAUGGGCGCAAGCCUGAUGCAGCCAUGCCGCGUGUAUGAAGAAGGCCUUCGGGUUGUAAAGUACUUUCAGCGGGGAGGAAGGUGUUGUGGUUAA
rnacentral:rRNA from 1 species